rfam:Hordeum vulgare subsp. vulgare, WGS project CAJW01000000 data, contig: morex_contig_1572402
UUAAUACUCCCCUCGUUCGGAAUUACUUGUCACACAAAUGAAUGGAAAUGGAUGUAUCUAAAACUAAAAUACAUUUAGAUACAUCCAUUCCUAUGACAAGUAUUUUCGAACGGAGGGAGUAACAA